GGAUUAGAUACCCUGGUAGUCCACGCCCUAAACGAUGUGUGCUAGUUGUUGGGCCUUAAGGUUCAGUGACGCAGCUAACGCAUUAAGCACACCGCCUGGGGAGUACGGUCGCAAGAUUAAAACUCAAAGGAAUUGACGGGGACCCGCACAAGCGGUGGAGUAUGUUGUUUAAUUCGAAGCAACGCGAAGAACCUUACCUACACUUGACAUCCUUCUUGGGACUUUCAGAGAUGAUUGUCUUCGGUUCGGCCGGGGAAGUGACAGGUGCUGCAUGGCUGUCGUCAGCUCGUGCCG
rnacentral:rRNA from 1 species